rnacentral:rRNA from 1 species
UACGGGGGGGGCAAGCGUUGUUCGGAAUUACUGGGCGUAAAGGGUUCGUAGGUGGCUCGCUAAGUCAGACGUGAAAUCCCUCAGCUUAACUGGGGAACUGCGUCUGAGACUGAUGAGCUUGAGUGCAGGAGAGGAACGCGGAAUUCCAGGUGUAGCGGUGAAAUGCGUAGAUAUCUGGAGGAACACCGGUGGCGAAGGCGGCGUUCUGGACUGCAACUGACACUGAGGAACGAAAGCCAGGGGAGCAAACGGG